rnacentral:sRNA from 1 species
UCAGCGUAGACGCCGAUGGCAAUGCCUCC